rnacentral:rRNA from 1 species
CGAAGGGUGCAAGCGUUACUCGGAAUUACUGGGCGUAAAGCGUGCGUAGGCGGUUUGUUAAGUCUGUCGUGAAAGCCCCGGGCUCAACCUGGGAAUGGCGAUGGAUACUGGCGAGCUAGAGUACGGUAGAGGAGAGUGGAAUUCCCGGUGUAGCAGUGAAAUGCGUAGAGAUCGGGAGGAACAUCAGUUGCGAAGGCGGCUCUCUGGACCAGUACUGACGCUGAGGCACGAAAGCGUGGGGAGCAAACAGGAUUAGAUACCCUGGUAGUCCACGCCCUAAACGAUGCGAACUGGACGUUGGGAGCAAUUAGGCUCUCAGUGUCGAAGCUAACGCGUUAAGUUGACCGCCUGGGGAGUACGGCCGCAAGGUUG